GGCCUAUUUGGCUUAUUUAAUAGGUCUGGCCUGCCCAGUGAACAUUUUAACGGCCGCGGUAUAUUGACCGUGCAAAGGUAGCAUAAUCAUUAGUCUUUUAAUAGGGGGCUGGAAUGAAAGGUUUAACGAAAAAUUAGCUGUCUCAAUUGUAAAUUUGAAUUUAUCUUUUAAGUCAAAAGACUUAAAUUUAAUUGAAGGACGAGAAGACCCUAUAGAGCUUUACAGGUUUUUGAUUUAAUUAAUUUAGGUGAAAAAUUUAAUUUAAUUGAAAGUUUGUUUUGUUGGGGUGACAAAAAAUAUAAGAUUAACUUUUAUUAUUGUUUUUACAUUAAUUUAUGAUUUAUUGGAUCCAUAAUUUUUGAUCAUUAGAUUAAGUUACCUUAGGGAUAACAGCGUAAUCUCCUCUAGGAGUUCUUAUUUACGGGGAGGGUUGCGACCUCGAUGUUGGAUUAAGAUAAUAAUUAGGUGCAGCAGCUUAAUUAAUAGGUCUGUUCGACCUUUAAAUUCUUACAUGAUCUGAGUUCAGACCGG
rnacentral:rRNA from 1 species